UACGGAGGGUGCGAGCGUUGUCCGGAAUCACUGGGCGUAAAGGGCGCGUAGGCGGCGCGGGUAGUCAUCGGUGAAAGUUCAGGGCUCAACUCUGAAUCGGCCGGUGAUACUCCCGUGCUCGAGCACUGUAGAGGCAGGUGGAAUUCCUGGUGUAGCGGUGAAACGCGCAGAUAUCUGGAGGAACACCGGUGGCGAAGGCGGCAUCCUGGACCAACAUUGACGCUGAGGAGCGAAAGCCAGGGGAGCAAACGGG
rnacentral:rRNA from 1 species